AGCAGCCGCGGUAAUUCCAGCUCCAAUAGCGUAUAUUAAAGUUGUUGCAGUUAAAAAGCUCGUAGUUGAAUUUCGGGGUCAGUAGGUUGGUCGUGCCACAGGUAUGAACUGGUCUCACUGAUUCCUCCUUCCUGAUGAACCGUAAUGCCAUUAAUUUGGUGUUGCGGGGAGACUGGACUGUUACUUUGAAAAAAUUAGAGUGUUCAAAGCAGGCUCACGCUUGAAUACAUUAGCAUGGAAUAAUGAAAUAGGACGUUGAUCCUAUUUUGUUGGUUUCUAGGAUUGACGUAAUGAUUAAUAGGGAUAGUUGGGGGCAUUAGUACUCAAUUGCCAGAGGUGAAAUUCUUGGGU
rnacentral:rRNA from 1 species